CCCAAGGCUCACGCCCUGGGCUAUUACACGUCGCUCCUUCAGAGCU
rnacentral:sRNA from 10 species